UAAUUCACCUGAAAUGAGUACGAUUACCUGCUGAACUUAAGCAUAUCAGUAAGCAGAGGAAAAGAAACAAACAUGGAUUUCCUUAGUAACGGCGAGUGAAA
rnacentral:rRNA from 1 species